GCCAGCGGUCGGUGAUGGUGGACUCCUACAUCGUCUGGGACCCCAUCACCGAUGGCCGGUGGGGAGUUCCAUUCCCAAGAAUGGGUCGCCAUUCGUGUAGUGGCGCAGUGCUCUGUGCUAAGCAACACUGCGACCACCUGGAAUGUCAUGGACCGCCCUUCCUCGAAGCCAUGGUGGGUUCCUGCGAUGGGACCACGUCCGCCUGCGUAUACUCAUCGGAGUCUGGUGUGUGGAGCGGCAUCAUCACCCUGAAGCAGGAGGAUUACAUAGACUGGUCCGGGCGCAGCAUCCUUGUGGGAAACACGCUCUACUUUCCCUUUCGAGACAGUUUCAGAGUUCUGCAGUACAAGCUGGGCGAGCAGAAACUAUCUGUCAUCGAUGCGCCAUCGCAGCUCGGGAAGGAGCGCCUUGUGUUGGUAUCGGUGGAAGACGGCGUGUGUGUGUUUGCCGGCUUGCGAGAGACUAGGCUCUCUCUCUCUGGUCAGCCGAGGUAGCUUAUCCCGAUGGAGCUCUGGCUUGGGUGGAACGCAGGAUCAUUGAGCUCGAGAACCUGCUCCCCCCAGAGGCCAUCGAACCGUUUUCUCACUGGCUUUUUGGAUGGUAUGGACCUGAACUCAGUGUGUCUGGAUUCGCAGAAGGCAUCGUCUUCUUGAGUACAAUGGCUGGGUUUUUUACGGUUGAGCUCAAUUCGGGCCGAACCAAGAAGGUUAGCGAGUUGAAAAUGGCUGCUCAUGUCACUCCUUGGACAAGCUUCUACACUCAAGAUCAUGCUAGGCGUGACAUGGGUCAUAUCCAUCCAUCAGCAUGAAGAACCGGAACCGCUGCCAUUUUGCAUGAGGAAGUCUGGAGCUGCAUGAGUACUGACCAAGUUUCUGUGGAGAAAUGUGAGCCUUAAUCUGAAGUACGGAGAUUUUGAUUUGGCUUCAGAGGAACCGUAGCUUUCUAGUACUUCCUCCGAUCCAUAUUAUUACUUGAUGCUAAAAUGGAUGUAUCUACAACUAGAAUGUGUCUAGAUACAUCUAUAUUAGCAUCGAGUAGUAUGAAUCGGAGGGAGUAAAUUAAUUUGUUGGCUUAAGAGGAACAGCUGUUUUCUACUUAUUUAAUCCAUUGAGACCAUAUAAGUCUGUUACUCUGUUAUGGCACAUGACUAAAUGUUUGCUGUGACUGAGCCUUGUUAAUUUUUGUUGCGACAACUG